AGUGAACGCUGGCGGUAGGCCUAACACAUGCAAGUCGAACGGCAGCACAGUAAGAGCUUGCUCUUACGGGUGGCGAGUGGCGGACGGGUGAGGAAUACAUCGGAAUCUACUUUUUCGUGGGGGAUAACGUAGGGAAGCUUACGCUAAUACCGCAUACGACCUACGGGUGAAAGCAGGAGAUCUUCGGACCUUGCGAGAGUGUAUGAGCCGAUGUCGGAUUAGCUAGUUGGCGGGGUAAAGGCCCACCAAGGCGACGAUCCGUAGCUGGUCUGAGAGGAUGAUCAGCCACACUGGAACUGAGACACGGUCCAGACUCCUACGGGAGGCAGCAGUGGGGAAUAUUGGACAAUGGGCGCAAGCCUGAUGCAGCCAUGCCGCGUGUGUGAAGAAGGCCUUCGGGUUGUAAAGCCCUUUUGUUGGGGAAGAAAAGAAGCAGGCUAAUACCCCGCUGUCCUGACGGUACCCAAAGAAUAAGCACCGGCUAACUUCGUG
rnacentral:rRNA from 1 species